AAGGCCUCUUAUUGGAGGAUUUCCCAAAGUGCGUUCAUUCCAGAUGGGGGCCGGACCCAAAAACCUCUGGCCAACAUUUGCCUGGGGCAGGUCAAUCUGACACCAUCCAGAGAAGGCCGUUUGUCCUGCCGUGUACUUCCCAGAGUCAGUACCACAGAACCACGCCCUGGAAUGGGGACUGCUGAGUGGAGAGAACUGGAAAGGGAACACGACGGGAAAAAGAUUAAUACCUCAGUCACCUAAUAUGUCCUCCUCCUCACUCCCUGCACCAGAGAGAAAUAUGAACCCUUAUCGAAAUGAAAGGGAGGGUUAUGUCAGAUGCUGGAGUAAGUCCAAAUUGAUAUCCCUAAACCUUACCUUGGGGAUGGAAGUUUGAGGUGUGGAUCUCUCCAGCUGAACUCAGCUAUCGUAUGAAUAAACUCUCUUUUGCAAACAGGUUGUUUUGGUGAUUAACAUACUGUGAGGCAAGCAAAAUGGGCUUGGUGUGGUAACACUGUUGUGUUGUGAAUUUGAAUUACAAGUCUGAUUUGGCAAGCUCUCCUCAAAAAGUGAAUGCAAAGAUCGUCAAAUAUCUAUUCCUUUUGUAUUCAACCUUUGGUCAAACAUCCCUAUUAUGAACAUCCCAAAUCUGAACUGCUACAGGUGGAAAAUUGUACAUCUGACCUUAUGUGAUGGGUCAAAAUCAAAAGGCAGGUAUACUAAAAAUACUGCAUAAAAGUAUUUGUGUAUGAGAUGUAAAUGAAAAAUAAAUGGAUUUUCCAUUUAGAUUCGGGUGCCAUUGCUAAGGUAUUUCAUUAUGUACGUAGAGAAUUCCAAAAUCUGAACAAAGUAUGAAAUGUCACUGGUCCCAAGCUUUUCAAGUAAAAGAUAUUCAGCCUGUAUUUAGAAAUUAUAGUGUCUGAGUCACUUAAUAUGCUACCAAUAUUCAGCUGACUGACUGUAUUACUAUGGGAACUACUAGUCAAUAAAUAUUAAUGGUUUACUCUUGAGAAAGGAUUUUUAUGACCUUGAGCAUGCAGUUGCCAGAGAUAAGGACCCUGGAAGUGAAAGGCAGUGUAGCCCUAGGGACAUCAGUCACAGGGACUCAGAUGUGAUGCUGCUGCCCAAGGUAGGCAAUGUGGUGACAUGUUGUUGGCGGAAAUAUUUAUUUUUAUAGUUUAACAAUUAAAGUUUUAAAAUUUAAGUUUUACUACAUGGGGGUAAAACAUUGUUUUGCAAACAGUGAUGUUUUACAUUUGGA